AUUUUCGCGCGUGCUUCAGGAGAGCUUUGCGUGCCCACGGAGACGGAGAGAAACUCGUCAGAAAUUUCCUUCAAACCCUGGCAGCCUCUAACAAAAGUCGCGUUUGACGUAAACCAUCGAAAGUUACUUUAUCAAGAUGGUUGACAAUGCUUCAGCUGGGGAACAAUACGAGGAUUUUGGUCGUGAAACUUUAGAAUGCAGUAAAGAUUUAGAGAGGAUGACCGAACAGAUGGAGAAAAUUUCAGUGAAUGUGACCUGGAUGACGUACGACAUGGUGGUACUGAGGACUGAUCCUCAACUCGCAAAAUCCCUCAAGAGGCUGAAGAACGAAUUCGUCCAGUGUAAAGCUGUUAUCUGCGGCUCCGGAGACAUUCUAGUUGACCAACGUAUAGUUGCAAAUCAAAAGACAACCCAAGAAAGGAGAAAAUGGACAUGUCCAUAGAUUUGGUGUUCACUGCUUCCACUGUUGAUCUGGAUUGCAUACUGAUGAAGCUGGAUACUAUUUCUGAGACUUUGGAUCAGUUGGAAGCGAAGACUCAGUUGCUGCUGUGUAAUUUAACUGUGUGCUUCAGACACCCUGAUAGGGUGGCAUGUCUGCACUCUGGUGUAGAAGACUCAAUGGGGUUGACAGCAUCUCCAGAAUUGGCAGAGUCAAGAGAUAAUGGUAGUAAGAGAAAUAAAAUGAGCAGUUAAAUGUAUUGAAAGUUGUUAGGCAUGAGACAGUCAUUAAAACCACAAUCCCCAGUGAAGUCCACUUUUUAUAUAAAUUAUUACACCCAAAGUGAAAAAGCCACACAAAUGCACUGGUUAUAAACUUACAGAUUUAUACACUUACUAUAAAUUAAAGUUCACGUAAUAGUUGUCUUCAAUAUGUUCCAUGUACCAUGACAAAUAGUAUGUUUGGCUUGAUUACAUCUUAAUAUGCUGCUGGCUGAAAGCUUUUGAAAGACUGCUCAGGCUUAGAUCAUAUAUCUGCUACUGCUGUUUUUGAGUUAGAUUAAAUGGAUAUCACUAUUUUUUAGAUGGAUAUCUUUGUAAUCUGCUUAUGUCAACUUGUAAUCUGCUUAAGAGUUUGUUAACAAACAACUGAUUGUACUUUGUAAAUGUUGCCUUUUAUUUUGUACCAUGCAAAAUUUAUUGUAUUGUACUGUAGUGACAAUAAAUAUAUUAUUUCCCCAGCAAUCACAGCAGUAGCCAGGCUAAACUUUGGUAUUCUAGAUAUUUAGUUUUUUUUCUUGCUUGUUGGUAAACUGAAAAUUAUUCCAAGGCUGUGCCACUGUUAUUUAAUUCCCUGUUUUCUCACCUUAACAGUGGCAUAUUCCUCACGUUGCUAUUUUGUCUCAAGGCAUACUUCAGAUUCCCUUCAUGUCAGCAGUUUUACAUGCUACUGAAAAUUCAUGUCCUGUGAUUUGAUUCAGUGUUUUUGUUUUAAAAUCUGGGUUUUAGUUUGUGUUUAUAAUGCUAUGCCACAGAUGUAUGUAGUAAGUAAGUAUGCAUUAAAUUCCAGGGUUUAAUAGAAUUACUGUUUCUUUUGCUCUUAUGUAUGUACAGUGGGGUCCAAAAGUCUGAGUUUUUUUAAUUUAUUUUUUAUUUUAUUUAAAAUUAAAAGGUUUGAUAAUUUUGAAAUAUUUAAAACAAAGAAAGUGUUUAACAUGUUGAAUAUUUUAUAUUCAAGAUUCUGCAAUAUUUCUAGGUCCCUAUUUAAGUGUAAGCAAAUUUGUGAUAUUGACCAUGUUAACUGCUUUGUACAAAAGGUGAGAUUUUCCUCAGGUUUUCCAGAUGAAACUCUGAUGAGUCUGAUCUAAACUUGUGGAGUCCAUGCUAGCUUGAGUGCACACGGUCAUUAAAGAAAAAAGGGGACAUAUCAAAUACUAAGAAACUCUGAAAUUAUUAUAAAUAUUUUAAUGAUUCUACUUUUCUUUCAAGUUAUGGUCAAUAAUUUGCAAUGAAAAUUGUUGUGUUAAUUUAG